rnacentral:tRNA from 1 species
GGGGAUUUAGCUUAGUGGUAUAAGCACCUGCCUGGCAAGCAUGAGAUUGUGAGUUGAGUUUGAUCCCUG